GUGACAGGUGGUGCGUGGUUGUCCUCAGCUCGUGUCGUGAGAUGUUGGGUUAAGUCCCGCAACGAGCGCAACCCUUGUCUUUAUUUGCCAGCAUUUUGUUGGGAACUCUAGGGAGACUGCCGGUGACAAACCGGAGGAAGGUGGGGAUGACGUCAAAUCAUCAUGCCCCUUAUGAGUUGGGCUACACACGUGCUACAAUGGGGGGUACAAAGGGCAGCGAAGCCGCGAGGUGGAGCCAAUCCCAGAAAGCCCUUCUCAGUUCGGAUUGCAGGCUGCAACUCGCCUGCAUGAAGUCGGAAUCGCUAGUAAUCGCAGGUCAGCAUGCUGCGGUGAAUACGUUCCCGGGUCUUGUACACAC
rnacentral:rRNA from 1 species